CGUACGUAGGAUGUGUGGAGUACGCACGAUUUUAGAGAAUACGGAGUGCCUAAGUCGUAAGACCUUUCAAAUUCCGGAUUCGCGCUGCAGAGUGUCCAUAUUUUUGACCACACUCCCGAUUACCAAGUGGAAGUAUCCUUAAAUGGUCAGACUUGACCCUUGGAGGCGAUGAAGCGCUGAAUCAAGCAAAUUGCAUCGUUGUCACCAGCUUCAAGACACUUUUAAUAGUGUUCUGAGUCCUUGGAAGACAUCCAUGGAAAUCUCCUCCAGCGGCGAUUGCCUAUAAAAACACCGUAAAAGGAUAUACCAAUUUUGCCGGGCGGUGGUCAACCUGGACCGAAUGAUCUAUGAUGGGACAAGGUCUCGGUGACCACGCCCACCACCACGGAGGGACAUUUGUAAUGGUGUCACCGAAGCUGAUGUCUGAACUAUAUGCCUAGCACACCUUAUCUCAGUAACAUCAGCCUUGGAACUGAUUAGUAUGAACAUGGAUUACCGAGAAAUACUUUCUGAACAGAAUUAGACUAAUUUGAGAAAUCAGGAGUUGUGAUAAGAAUGUAAUGUCUUUAUUUGUGAUUUCGGUUUUCCUGCAUCUAAAUAGUACCUGUGAACUUGCUGACAGCACUGUGAAACGU